rnacentral:lncRNA from 1 species
UCGAAACAAGAUUUCGACAAUAAUAAAGGGGGUGGCUGUCAAGCUAGGAAAGUGGAUGGGUUUGGAGACAAGGAAUUUUAUACAGGUUCAGGCCUUCUUAUUAAAGAAGUAAUACCCUACUCCUGUCCGGGGAUGAUUCCGCCAAGUGUGUUAUUGAUUGUAUGAUUGAAGAAAAAAGAAUCGUGCCCCAAGAGGCACACGGACCCUCCUUAUAUAGGGGAAGGGAUCCGUAAUACAAGGUACAGUCUAUAUCCUAACGGAAUAUGGGAUUACAGAUAAAAUACAAUCGUAACCGACUAGGAUCCUGGGUAUUUUCUUGACAUACAAGUUUAGAAUCUAACCCGAAUCCUCAUAAAGAUAUUCUAUCUAUAUUUGGUACCAUAUAUCUGACUAAAGUAUAACUGUCAUGCAGAUAUGGGGUAUCCAUAAUCUCCACAGUAGCCCCCGAGACCUUCGCAGUUGACGAAACAACCUUCUCGAAACAAAAACCAGUAGUCCGAGUGCUUUAAUUCAACUUGCUCCAGCUUGUCGAGUACUAAAAAUCAAAAACUGUGAAGGACGAAAAUAAAACAUGGUGCAUCGAGUAGAUGCACCUAAUUAGGUGUAGCCCCUGACUAUGUGAUUAGUUGAAAAACUAAACAUAUAGUCAAGAACCGAGUGGUUUUAUAGCGAAGCACGCAUGGUACUUAGUAAGAUACCCAGCCGACUGCUUCUCAACUUGAAUAUAUCAAGGACAAAAAAUACAAGAAGGGCCGAGUGACAAACACUCAAAAGGCCCAAAAAUAGAUAUAUUUGGUAGGAAUCCGAGCAAGAAACUCUUAAAAUGAUCCACCAAACAUAACAGAAAAUCAUGGUAAUUAAUGAGUCUAACAGCCUAGGCUGUGACCCUUACCAUAACCAAAAUAAGCAUAUAACAUGCUAGGAGAAUGACUACUGAUAAACCAGUCAUCUUAAAUUAACCCAACAGCUCUUGUAGCCUAAAAAAGCUUACAAAAAUGGUAUAACACCUUUCUGUUGGGCACCUUUUCAUGUGCAUCAUAAUAAUUCCAAAGAAUUAUUGAAUCGCGUUAAAAAGGAUUUUAACAGCAUCGGGCCACAUCAUUGUGAGCACAUAUUGCCAAAGCAAAAAGCGCCUAAGUCCCUAGGGAUCACAAUGGGCCGCGCUGAAAACAUAAUUGGGCUGAAGUACUGUACAGACCCAGGCCCAUUAGUACUCCCG